CAGCCGCCACGGGAAUACGAGGGGGGCAAGCGUUGUUCGGAAUUAUUGGGCGUAAAGGGAGCGUAGGCGGUUUGGUAAGUCUUGUGUGAAAUCCUCGGGCUCAACUCGAAGUCUGCACGAGAAACUGCCGGGCUUGAGUAUGGGAGAGGUGAGUGGAAUUCCUGGUGUAGCGGUGAAAUGCGUAGAUAUCAGGAGGAACACCUGUGGCGAAAGCGGCUCACUGGACCAUAACUGACGCUGAGGCUCGAAAGCUAGGGGAGCAAACAGGAUUAGAUACCCCCGUAGUCCCUGUCUCUUAUAC
rnacentral:rRNA from 1 species